AAGUCGUAACAAGGUUUCCGUAGGUGAACCUGCGGAAGGAUCAUUAACACGUAUCCAACGUAUUCCCCCCACCCUGGUCACUUGUUUCUUUCCCCGCCCUGCUCGUCUCGCAUGAAUCGGAAGGUGCGUCCCUACUUGUGAGGCUUUUUGGGCUUCGGCUCCGAAGGCUUUGCUAACGAUUGUAGUGUUGCGGCAGGCUAUUCACUUAUUAAACAUAAUAAAACAAUUUUCACCCACUUUUGCGAGUUGAUUUUCCUUUUGUUUUCUGCUGCUAAGUCGAAAGGCCAGGCGCAGAGAGCAUCAUACUACAACAACAAACAUUACAACUCUUAGCAAUGGAUAUCUUGGUUCUC
rnacentral:misc_RNA from 1 species